rnacentral:tRNA from 1 species
UCCCUGGUGGCUCAGAUGGUAAAGCAUCUGCCUGCAAUACGGGAGACCCAGGUUCGAUCCCUGGGUUGGGAA